CCUAUGGCCUAACAACAGUAUCUUUAUCUUGAGUGAAAGGGAUUCAACUGACCUCAUUUUGCUCAGUGAAAGUGUAGGACAUCCUGAUAUCUACCCUCCCAGUGAAGACUGGUUCCUUCAACAUGAGAGAGCACUGAGAGAGAGUAGCCUCAUUUUGCAGAUACUCUGUAGCUCCUGAGUGAGAGAAACUACAGAAGGAGGCACACAAAAGAAAACUGGAAGAGACCAUAGCCAGGACAAGUGACCCUAACCAGCCCAAGGAGAUAUUCCGUAAUCAUAGAAUGCCAUGCCCAGUAUAUAAACUGGAGGAGUUACCUAGAAUGGGGGCCAUUCUGGGUUUGGAAACAGGAUCUGGCAUCCCCCACCUCACCUGGAAAAGACUGUGGCAGAGUUUUGUGUUUUUGUGAGACAUAAAUAAUUCUCACUCUCCUCUUCCAGUAAAACAAUUCUUGGUAUCAGAAGAUAAAAAGCCCUGUCAGAUCAGAAGACCCACUGCUGAAAUAAAAAAGCCCCAGGAUAUGAUAGAAAAUCAGAAUCAAGCUAAA